UCUAGGCCAAAUAAUAAGGAUGCCAAGAUGGCUUUUGGAGACUGCAGUUCUGUCAGACCCGCAGUCUCUCAGCUCAGACAGAGGGCCGGAGGGUGGCGGGCCUGUCGGCUCUGGAACACUUUGAUCUCAGCCGGAAGAUCGGCGUUCCCGUCUCACCCGGCAGGGGGCGCCUGGAUAGCCAUAGGGUCUCUCAAUCCCCUCACCGCUGCUUCCUCACUCCUCCAAGGGAAAAAUGAAUUCGUACAUUUUUGGAGGUCCCUUUCUCUUGAAUUUUGAAUCCACCUUUCAAGAAUAAUUAUAGGGCUAGGACUGUAGAGUGCUUACCUAGUGUGCUUGAAGCCCUGGGUUCAAUCCCCAGGACCAUUUUGGAAAUGAAUCAUCACAACCUCUGCCUUGGUGGCAUAAAUUUGUGUAUGUAUUCAAGCGAUAAAAUCAUUAUUUAACUAAAAAGAAAAAAAUGAAUAAUUGCACCAUUUUUUUAGGUAAGGAACUGUGUGCUUCGUUACCUUUCCACUCUUCCAAGGGAGAUUAAUCCAAGGACUCAGUGCUAAAUAGUGACUCAGCUACCCCACCCUAUAAGCAGCAAACUACUGAUGCUCUAGAAGGCCCACUUUAAGGACACUGAUCAGUGGUGGUGGUGGGGGGGAGUCAUUUUAAAGGACACAAGGAAAUUCUCAGUCUUCAGCUAGUCUCACUCAACAGAUGGGCUUGAUUAGCAGUGAUGAGCUACUGCCAGUUUGAUUAGGAAUAGUGAUGGGAUAUGACCUACUAUCAGGACCCCUGUGAGUCAGAUACAGCCCAGGCCAGGUUCUCCUAAAAGCCACUGAAUGAUCUAAAAAAGAUUCCAUGAUUCUGGCCAGCCUUAGAACUAUAGGCAGCAGCAUCAGGGGAAACAGGACCAGAGCUCUAACAAGAUGGAAAUGAACGGCAUGGAAAGAGGUGGCAAGAGAAUGAACUUAGUCUGUGAUCAGGCAUCAGCCAGGGAUUCUGGAGCCAGUUAAGGGUUUCAGAUUAGGAGCAUAUCAAUGACCCAGGAUCAGAACAAGCCUUUGGAUCAGAGCCAAGUGACCUCUGAAUGACAAGGAACUGGGAAAG